GGAGGGUGCAAGCGUUAUCCGGAUUUAUUGGGUUUAAAGGGUCCGUAGGCGGAUUUGUAAGUCAGUGGUGAAAUCUCACAGCUUAACUGUGAAACUGCCAUUGAUACUGCAAGUCUUGAGUGUUGUUGAAGUAGCUGGAAUAAGUAGUGUAGCGGUGAAAUGCAUAGAUAUUACUUAGAACACCAAUUGCGAAGGCAGGUUACUAAGCAACAACUGACGCUGAUGGACGAAAGCGUGGGGAGCGAACAGGAUUAGAUACCCUGGUAGUCCACGCCGUAAACGAUGCUAACUCGUUUUUGGGCUUUCGGGUUCAGAGACUAAGCGAAAGUGAUAAGUUAGCCACCUGGGGAGUACGAACGCAAGUUUGAA
rnacentral:rRNA from 1 species